rnacentral:rRNA from 1 species
UCAUUAUUGAAAUAAACCUGAUGGGCUGUUGCUGGUUCUCUAGGGAGCAUGUGCACGCCUUGUCAUCUUUAUAUCUCCACCUGUGCACCUUUUGUAGACCUUUCAGGUCUAUGUUGCUUCAUUUACCCCAAUGUAUGUUAAUAGAAUGUUGUGCCUAUAUAAUAUAUACAACUUUCAGCAACGGAUCUCUUGGCUCUCGCAUCGAUGAAGAACGCAGCGAAAUGCGAUAAGUAAUGUGAAUUGCAGAAUUCAGUGAAUCAUCGAAUCUUUGAACGCACCUUGCGCUCCUUGGUAUUCCGAGGAGCAUGCCUGUUUGAGUGUCAUUAAUAUAUAUAUCAACCACCUCUUCUUGAGUGGUUUGGAUGUGGGGGUUUGCUGGCCUCUUAAAAGGGUUCAGCUCUCCUGAAAUGCAUUAGCAGAACAACCUGUUCAUUGGUGUGAUAACUAUCUACGCUAAUUGAAUGUGAAGGGCAGUUCAGCUUUCUAACUGUCUGUGGACAAUUUCAUUAUUAAUGUGACCUCAAAUCAGGUAGGACUACCCGCUGAACUUAAGCAUAUCAAUAAGCGGAGGAAAAGAAACUAACAAGGAUUCCCCUAGUAACUGCGAGUGAAGCGGGAAAAGCUCAAAUUUAAAAUCUGGCAGUCUUAUGGCUGUCCGAGUUGUAAUCUAGAGAAGUGUUAUCCGCGCUGGACCGUGU